rnacentral:rRNA from 1 species
UACGUAGGGGGCAAGCGUUGUCCGGAUUUACUGGGCGUAAAGCGCGCGUAGGCGGAAGCUCAAGUCUGGCCUGAAAGCCCCCGGCUCAACCGGGGAGUGGGGCUGGAAACUGGGUUUCUUGAGGGCGAUAGAGGAGUGUGGAAUUCCUGGUGUAGCGGUGAAAUGCGCAGAUAUCAGGAAGAACACCUAUGGCGAAGGCAGCACUCUGGGACGGUACUGACGCUGAGACGCGAAAGCGUGGGGAGCGAACAGG